rnacentral:lncRNA from 1 species
GAGGCUAUAACACAGUAAGACCCUCCGGUCAACGUGUCUCAGUGGGACCCUCCGGUCCCAUAACUUGGGUGGACCCUCCGGUCCGAACUUAGUAAGCACAGAAUAAUACACAUCAUAAAUCACAUAGACAUAAUACGGGAUAUCUCAAUACUCAAUAUAAACACAUAAGACAUCUCAGUCACACAAAGAUACCACUCAUGGUAAGUAUAGUGAGAAGACUCGGCUCGACAACAAGCAAUUAUCCUCGCACUCGAAUCUCGAACUAGCCACCGCCUAACACAUAGGGUAGUCAUCUUAAUAAAUACUCGAUCCUCGACUCUAAGUAAACCAAAGGUUAUUCUUCCUCUUUUUAACUCUUAAAGUGGGUAAAAGACCAUUUUACCCCUCCAUGGUCUCCAUUACUCAUGUUUGACCAAACCCUAAAGUCAAUAGAAAUCAACUCGAAUCAACAGUCCAUGUUUGACCCGACUCGCCGAGUGCACCUAUGUGACUCGUCGAGUCCACUCGUUUCCUCGGAAGUCUCGUGAAGGUCCAACUUUGCUCGUUGAGUUGACCCUCAACUUGCCGAGUUAUCGCAUGAUCAAGCUCAUCGGGACAAACCCUAACCGACUCGUCGAGUCGGCUCAUCGACUCGGCGAGUCCAUUCAGACUCAUUUCUCAUUCAGGUUAUUUCAAGGUAGAAAACCAUCCCAAACUCUAGAUCUACGUUCUCAGGGCUCGAUUAUCACAUAAAGUCACGAGCUUUAUGUCCAUGCACGACAUAUGAUGCUCUAAAUGCCAAUAUAACUCUAACAAAGAUGCUUAACCACAAUAACUCUUAUAUGGUUGAAUAAAGCUAUAAUCUUUGGACUCUCUGGACCUCACAAAGUCCAGAUCUGAAGUCUAGGCCUCCUACUAGACUUCAUGUACUUAUUGUCCCAACAAAAGGUAGAAAAAUCCCUAACUUCCAUAAUCAUGAGAUCCAACUAAUAAGAUGAGAAAUGUGUAGGCUUUAUACCUUCUAUAGAACCUCCACGUGAAGAAAUGUUAGAUCCCACAGCCUCUUCUCAUUCCUUGCUUGUUGCUUACUCCUUUCCUUCCAAAGAUUCACCAAAACACUUGAUAUUAGCUCAAGCACUCUCUCUUAUAUUCAAUGGCCGCUAAGGGUUUCACACAGGAGAGUUGGGCAGCUGGUGAGGCACAUUUGAGGCUAUAAGUCCCCUUAAAUAGGCCCUAACCCCGGGACUUUAGGGUUUCCUCGCACAACACCAACUCGGCGAGUCGGCACACUGACUCGUCGAGUCCGUUCAUUAAACCCCCACGGAUAACUCGACUCUACUCGACGAGUUGGACUCACAGCUCGUCGAGUCGAUCCAUAAAUCUCAGAAUUUACUCUUACAAUGAUAUACCUAAGAAUCCAGAUGUUACAAUUCUCCCCCACUUGAAUUAGAUUUUGCCCUCGAAAUCGCUCCUCCACAGCACAUAGAUCGAAACCAAAACCCCGAAAGGUACCAUCGAAAGGAUCUCAUACCACACGGCUAUCUUCCUCCAGAAGCACCUGAAUCCAAACAAAAACUUUGAAACUCGGAAAAGGACAGACCCUCCUGCCGUUACAUUACCCCUUCUGACUCUCCAGAAUCUGGAAACUCUAGUGACCUGUCUCACUGCCAGACCGCCCUCUCAUGAUAUCACCAUGUUAUUUGUUCGUCGAAUAACAGACCCCUGAUAACUUACUGCCCCUCUGAUUCUCUCGCUGCGACUGAUAAACAAGUCAAUGCCCAAAAAUUGGCUACCGACCACUCUUACCAGACAUACAAGACGAUCCAGAUCAUACUCCAAUGAACGAAAGGAUCACACCACUAGGAACCCACCCACUGCACUACAAUCAAAACGCAUCUGAACAAUGAACUCUCAACACCCUGUCCUCAGACACAUGAAAAUAAUCAUGCUUACUCAGAAGUAUCCUUUGACAUCUAUCAAUCAUAAGCCCCAACUCCCAUCUCAAAUAUCCCUUUCAACACUGAGCACCAGGUCAACUCCCGACCCAACUGUUGAACCUCCAAAGGUUACCCGUUGCAUACCCCAAAACAUCUUACGGACUUCCUUCUCACACCAACUGUCUCGGUCUAGUGUGACACACUAGUCACGAAGUUCGCUUUACCCCAAGUGAAUACUACAACCCCAACUAAAAUCAUCUCACCCUCGACCUCUGUCGCCUACUACUCAUUAGUUCCAUACGUCUCGCGGUCCUUCCCAUACAGACGAACUGACCCACUCAGGUCUAAGAAAUCAGGUGACACACAAUACCCCUCCAAAUGGAACCCAUCUACGAAUCCGGAACCUCAUCUCGCCUACUUAAUACACGAAUUGUCCCAAAUUCAACUCGAGAGUCUGAUUUCACAACAUAAAUGGAAUUACUCAUUUCCAAUCUUAUAUUCAACUCGUACCCGCGAUUCGCAAAUUUAUGCACACACCAUCUCUCCAAUUCCUUACGAUUACGGUAAUCCUUCCUCAACCCGGGAUACAACAAUCCUCGUCUGACACGGAGACCCCAGUCUCGCCCCUGGUCCGGCAACCAGGUUCUAGAAGACUCAAGUGGUAAGGCUAUCUAAUCCUAAGAACUCCUUUGCGUCAUACUUUGAAUAGUGAAUACUACAGCUCCUCGCAUAAUGAUAUUAACUCUUAUUGACUACCGAGUGCUACGGUUCCCCCUAGGCUUAUGACACCCCAUCACUAACCAUUGAGUACUACGGCUCCCUGCAAUAUCACAACACUCUCUCGCUAGCCAGUGAAUACUACAGCUACCCGGAGUAUCACGACACUCUCUCGCUGACUAGUGAGUACUACGGCUCCCUGCAGUAUCGUGACACUCUCUCGAUGACUAGCGAAUACUACGGCUCCCCGUAGUACCACGACACCCUUUCCACUGACUCAUGAAUGAUACGGCUCCCCGUAGUCUCACAACGCUCUCUCGUUCACUGACUCACCAUGGGCCCACUCCAUGGCUUCUCGUGGUAAUCCCAAGCGAUUAUUCCUACCGGAUUCACUUGCUCUCUUAUCACCCCAUAAUCUCAACAUCAAGACAUCACUACACUGAGUUCACCAACUCAUGCUCCGUAGUUCAACCUAGAUAGGUGCUUACACCCACCCAACUUAUGCACCACCACUCCAUGAUGUAAUUUCUCGAAGGCAAGGCACUUUUCUCAGCAUAAAUACACCCUUAGAUAGUCCCACUCUGGCGACACUUAACUGAUGGGUUCCCACUGGAACAAAAUCUCUCGGUACUCCACUCGCCAUCUCACACUCGAGUCUCGACAUGACCAAAAAUUAGGACAUCAUACUCGGGUACCUCGGGACACCAUUACAACAUCUCACGCUGUCUUGCCUCAACCACUGAUCUUCCACUUACGCAACUCGAAACCUCGAAAUACUCCCAUCUCCCAAAUGGAAAUACAGAGGAAUCAUUAACGACUGAAUACACGUUGACGAAAAUUUGAAGAUCCAUCCUCUACUGAUCACCACCCAUAGGAAACUACUCAUACCGACUUUGAAAUUGGUUGAAAAAUCAACUGCUUCCCCUCCUGGAGUAUAGAUCACAAUCUAUAUCUAUACCCGCAGAUCUCAGCUAUUUCACCCUGAACUCAGCGACCCAACUACCUUGAACUCAACAUUUUCAAACCCGAAAAUUUACCUAGCCCCAAAAAAUUCUCUGGCCAACGGCCACCCACCAUGGAUUCACUCAUCCUUUCUUAAGCACAUACUCAUACGCCAUCCCGCCUUGCACCUUGCCUCAUACACCAAUAACCCAAGUCUCAUGUGUCUGCAUUGUAGAUCUCCAUAACUAGCUCCAUACCUGCACUUGAACGGAUUGUUGAUCCUCCCAAUAAAAUACUUGGUUCUCCCCCACUCAGGGUUCGAACCAUCACCAAUUGGCAUACCAACAAUAUACUCAAGACUGUUUUACCCGAUACAUCACACUUGACUCUUGGAAGGUACCACGUAAUCAUUCAAUGAUCUUCCCAAUGGAAACCAACCAACUCCAAAUAUCCCGCAACUCAGACAAAAAUCUCAGAAUCUUCCCAACGUGAUUGUCUCCAGUCAUCUCGAAGCCUCAGACCGACACACCGCCGAAUACCCCAACUGUUUCGCAUAGACCUGAAUCUCAAUCUCAAAAUAAUACACUAUCACGAACCUCGACAUCGAUUCCUCUACCAGCCACCCGCCGCAGGAAUCAUCAUAAAAGCAAGAGACCUCACUCUCACAAUCGAUACACAACGUGGACAAUGAGGGCCACUGCCCCGAUAUGCUCCUCUUUAUCACCUAGAAUUACUGCCAAAAGUAUGCCUCCCUCAAUAAGGCACCUCUUUGUUCUCUUCCAUCUUAUUCCUGCUAUUGACUCUCUUAUGGUAUGAAAAUACCUCGCAACAAACAUACAAAUCAAAUACUUUGGCGAAAAGGUUGCAACCCUAUGCUACCUCACGGGGUUUACCUCCAAACUCUGAAAUCGGGAACUCGUUAUCUCCUUCGCUUCUCCCAGAAAUGGGUACAACACAACUCUUGUCACAUAAGGUGACGCUUCAUCUACCGGUCGAUUGCUCAACUCAGACCGCGAUCCCCCAAUAAGCAUCAUCUCUACUCGUCCCUAAGUAUUUCAACUCCAACUGACAUCUCACUGAAAAUCUCUCAGAAACUAACUCGAUUUCCUUCUCAAGGUAUGCUCCAUUGAAACUCGUUCGAAAGGUCCCUCAGGCCCCACACUUUAUGACAUAUGAUCUCAGUCUAAUCAAACAUAACGGGAUAACUGGUAAAACCAGAAGCACUAACCGCCACAAAUCAUGGUACUCGAACCAUGUUAUUUCCUCUCAACCUGCUACGAAUCAUGGUACCCAGACCAUGUUAUCUCCUCUCAAUCUGCUACGAAUCAUGGUACUUGAACCAUGUUAUUGAUGGGUUUUAAGCAAAACACCAAUCCUAUGGUGUACAUGCAAACCCUAAUAGCUUUUGGAUCUAAUGUGUCUAAUGAACAUGCAAUUGAAUAUCCAAAGCUAUAAACCCUAGAUCUAACAUAUAAUAAACUGAAUUAGGGUUUAGAGAAUUACCUUUGAUUGUUAUAUAGCAAUAACAAUCAAUUCCUUACUUUGAUUGGCUUCAGAAAGCUUAGUGCCUCAAGUGUUGCACCUCUAAUGGAGUCACAAACACCACUAAGCAACUAGAUGAAGAAGGAGAAGAGAGGAGGCACCCAAAAACGUCUAGAAACCCUAAGGAUUCAGUUACACACGUUUUUGGGGCCUAAAGGGUCCUUUAUAUACUUGUGUGAGCUGCUAGGGUUUCAGUCAAAACCCUAAUGGACAGCUUAAACUCUAAGCAACCCAUGGAACCUUCUGGAUAAGGCCAUGGACGAAAAUAUGAUGGGCUCCCAUCAUAAUUUCGUUCACCCCUUGUUCCUUUAGCAUUCCUUAGCCCACUAACUCAAUUUUCCAAUAACUGCAGUCCGGUCCCAUAUAUUUAAUUAAUCUCUUUUAGCCACAAAAUUAAUUAUCAAUUAAUUCUUGACUAAUAUGAAUUAAACAAUAUGAUUUCUCUUUUAAUAUAUUAUUCUCAUAAUAUAUUAAUAAAUCAUAUUUAAACCUUUCUCUCCUUAAUUCAUCCUACAUAUUGCUAUGGUGAAGGCAACCCAAAAGGACCAUGCUCAUAAUCGGGUCAAGUACAUACCAAAAUAGUUAUGGACUUAGACACUAAUCCAACAGUCUCCCACUUGGAUAAGUCUAAUAACUAUUUUCCGUAUGACUUCAGAACCUGAUCAGCAAUCGUAGCUUUCAAAAGCCGCUGUCAACUCUGAUCUUAUCAGAUAGCGUGUCCUCUAGAUAAGGGAUCAUAUAUUCCUCCAUUCUCAAGAUAUCGUAUAGACAUGAAAAUCAUUCUCUCUAUACUGUUUCCCGACUUCCGAUUUAUGACGACUGACAACAGACUACAAUUGAACACAUCAACUUAGUCCCGACUUGGCCAAGCGCUUAGGUGUCAUCACUAAAUAUUUGAGGGGCCCGCAGAUAUCGCUUUUAUCCUACUUUGGGUAAAAAUAAUGGAUAAACUUUGACUCAUAUGCUUGCUUGGAUUCACUGAUCGAAUCAUACACAACAAUAAGUUUUAUAACACCAAGUUACUGGUGCGUUUACUUAUUAUCAAUGUGCAACCGACCAACAAAUAACAACUCACACGUCUCGAUUUCAAGAAUAUACAAUAUUAUCAUCUCACUAAUCACCCGCGAUAAAUCCAUGAAGUGAUCCAAGUGAGCUUGGGUUUAAUCCAAUACUCUAAUCUAAUCAAAGCACUCAUGAAUCCUGCAACAAACUUGUGCUAUGUUUAAACACUUUAGACAAUCUACAGACAGAUUCAUGACAGUCUUCUUUCAUACCUACUUCCAANCCCAACGUAUGACCGACUGUGGAUGUUUGAAUAACCUAGUUAUUCUGGAAGUCAAAACAUGCAAAUUGAAACAUAACAAUAAUACUUAAUCCUAUAUGGCCUCAAACUUGUGAGAGUAAAUAAAACACUUCUAUUUAACCACCAUAUUGAUUACUCAUUAUUAUCGUUUACUGUUUCAGAAAAUCAACUUAUUACUCAAAUUACAACAAUAGUUGUCCCAUGCAUAAAGCAUGCACACUAUGUUUCCUAUGGUCCUUACUUUGUGAAAUAGAUCAAUUGAAAAACCUUUUCAAUGAUGCUCAUUUCACAAUUCCCAAUCCUUAUCAUUAGUGUAGGAACACAAGGUUCUUGCCACUACUAGAAUAUGCUAGAUUCUAACAUUUUAUGUAACGAUCCUUUCGCAAAGUCAUAGCACAAAAGUCACCAAGACUUGGCCAAUGAAAUUACAAAGUACUCUAUCAUAAAUUGUUACAAGACAAAUCCAUAGACGUGAAGUCUCACAUUCAAAGUACAUUCCUUUGAACAUCCUUCUUGCAUAAAAGUUUCUAAUCUAGACAUAGAUUCUCAAUAUCCAACUCCCGAUAUGGAAACAUUUCCACAUUUUCCAUAUGACAACUCAUUCUUAAUAGAAUCUUAUCUAUUCAUAAUCAUGUCGAUAUGGUCCAUCCAAUACCAUACUUCUAACUACUCACAAGCGACCAAUCCUCAGCGAACUUUGGAUCGUCCUUUGAUAGUUGUUUAAUUAUUUUAGUCAAAAACCGAUUCUAGUCCGUUUUCCCUCUUAAUGCGCUAGACAUUUGGAAAAUUUUAGAAUGGUCAAAUAUUAUAGCAUUUGAAAUCGAUACUAUAUCUGAAGCAUAUGGGACACAAUGCAUAAUGUCUUACAUAAAGAUAUGUUACUUUAUCAAUCUUCUGCCAUAAUAUUUUAUGUGUCAUGUUCUCACAAUUCGAACUAUGAAAAGGGAUGCCGUAAUCAUAAUCGAAAUUUGAGAACACACAAUGUAUCAUUUGAUUAUAUUUAUUAAAAUUUUACAAUCUAAGCUUUAGAUUUUGAAACGAAGUAUAAUAUUCUCUCCCUUAAUUAUAGUAAAACAACUUUUCAACCCAUGCUACUUUGCAAAUUGAAUCUUUGUUUUUCUAUAUUUAAUAUUGCUAACUUGCAAUACUUGCCAUAAUAAUCAUACAAGCAUAACACGUAUGCUCCCACUAUCAUGAUGAUUAUUACCAUAUAAGCAUAACACUUAUGCUCCCACUAGCUUUGACAUGUAUUUAGAAAACAGCUGAAUUUCCAGAAAACAAUGCCUAUUGAAUUUCUGAAGUUCAUAUUUCUAAUACCAUAUGCUUNCUUUGCCUUAGAUAGCUCAUAUGUGUGUUUAAACAAUUCAUAACUUAUGUUACUAAGUUCCAAAUGUUGAAACUAAUUGCCAAAUCUCACAAUUCGAACUAUGGAAAGGGAUGCCGUAACCAUAAUCGAAUUUGAGAAUACAAUUUUCACAAUUGCUAUCUUCUUAAAAUCUCUCUUAGUGAAAGCAUUUCCUCACAGUCAUUUUCAUGAAGGAGGGAAUCUUAUGACACUUAGAUUUUAUGGUGUACGAGUUCUUAUCCAUGUGAAUUUGCCAAAACCAAAGUUUGCGACAAAUCCAAACUCAUAUGGACUGAACUUUCUUAAUCUUGAUUUCUUGCCUUAUGGUAACAUGAGUGCCCACCAUGUCUUCCAAGUAGUUUUGCAACUUAUCCUUGCAUAUCAAUGUACUUUCCAUUGAUCAAGGCGGUUUGUCUUUAUGUAUUCAAAUGAGAACUCACAGAACUCACAUACAUAAUUAACUCAAUUGGAAUGACACAGAAACAAAAUAAUGUCAACACGAUAGGUUGUAAACCUCAAGUCGUGUGCUAGUGAUGAUCGAUAAGGUUUAUUCUUGAUUUGUUCUUGAAACCUUCUUCAAGAUCAUUAAAACUCCUACUGAUCUCUUGACAUAUAUGAUUCUCUUGUCAGGAAACUUUUCUAGACAAAACAAAUAUUCAAGAGUUAGUGUAGUUCUUAUAAGGACAAAACACUUCACAUAAUUGGUCAUAGUUGGUCUUUAUCUUAUCCAAGACAGCACAACUUACCAAUUUCAAAUGUGCAAGCAUAAGAAAACUUUUCCAAAUUCCACAUUUAUUGAGNAUGCGAAACUCCACUUGCCGAAUAGGUGGCAUUGAGAAAACGGUAUUAAGACUCACUUGUCGCUCAAUUCGAAAUCUUGGAGUAAGACUCUAAGAUUCGAUAUUGGAACGAAGUAUGAUUGACUUCUUGAUUUAACCAAUUCCCGAUUCCUCUUCUUAGACAUAAAAAUAUACUAAGACUCACUUAGAGAAUCAAUUGAGAUACGGUUCUUAAUCAUUAAGACUUAUCAUAAAACACAAUAAAAGGUACUCUACCUUCUUAGAAUAGAGAAACUUUUAUCUUUCUGCCUACUUGAUUCUUCUUAUUCGUUCUGUUAUUCAUUGAAACAUUUUUCAAUCAACUCAGAAUUACACUUAAUCUUAUAAGUACAUUCAUAUUUACUAAACUUUAAUAAAUCAUGACGAAUAUCUUUAUCACUCUUGUGGUGGACUUGAUCAACACACAACCUAGUGUACUCGAUCUCCUAGUCCUUCACUUGACACUUUGUCAAAGAAUUAGUCUAAUUUCCAAAUAUGAAGUCUCUCAUUCAUCACGCAACCAAGUUGUAUGAUUCCAAGUUUCUGUCCAAUUGAAACUUGGGCGAUGAGAAACUCUCCCUAUUUGGUAAAUUCUCGACAUUUCCACAAGUAACAUAAUUAAGAAUCAAAUCCUUUAUUGCUAAUAAUAGAAACCUUUAAACAUCAAUUUUUUUUCAUACAUGCCAUUGCAAGGAUAAAUAUAUAAAAUAAAAUCAAAUUUCAUUUUAUUGUGGAAAAAAUUUGUCCUUACAAUGCAAUUCAAUUGAAAAACUAUGUCAUUACACAUUUCUUAGCAAUCUAUUCUAACUCCAAGUAGUAGCUCAAGAAUCCAAUCUUCAAGCAAUGCGAUCGAAAUCCAUUUCUUCAUGAUUAGAUUCAACUCACUUCUUCCCAUAAGCUUCCUCUCUUUUCUUCGAUCCUACAAAACAUCAAAAUGUAAUCUUAUCACAUCAUGUAUUAAGAAUCUAGAAUAGGAACUUAAAAGAGUUAGAUAAUGGAUUUUACCUGAAGUAGAGCUAUACAUCUUGACUCUCCCAUCUCUUAGAUCUCUCAGGUAGUUUGCGCAGCUUCGUCUCCAAUGCCCCUUCUCUUGGCAAUAAAAACAAAUGGACUCCUUUGGUACAACACAUUGGACAAUAACAAACUUUGUUCUUUCUGGACUUCCAUUGUUGCCUGUGUCCAUUGAAGUUUGGGAGUUUGAUUCACCAGACAAAUUUGCUUGACAACACGCCAANUAGCAGCUAUAAGCAAAUAGGUGAGAUCAAUGAGGGUCACGUCGUGAUCCAUCAUAUAGUACUCUCUAACGAACUCACUAUAUGAUUCAGGAAGUGACUGAAGAACCCAGUCAACGGUCAAUAUUUCUAAGAUAUCGACACCCAACAUCCUUAACCUAUCAAUGUGCGACUUCAUCUCUAAGACAUGUGCACACACAGACGUUCCAUCUUCAUGCUUAAUUGCCAAUAAGGCUUGAGUGAGCUUGAACUUUUCAAUCCUUUGAACUUGUGGGGUAGGAAGAACAAUUGGAGGAGGUGGAGGAAGUGAAGCAUGAUCUCUUGUUCCUCGAUCAUGUCGUGGAACAUCAUCUUCAUUUGGAAAGCUUGUUCCAUGGGAUUUGGGAAUACCAUGACUAUCAAAACUAGACAUCUACAAAACGGGAGAAAAUUCAAGUUAAGUUGAUUAGAAUUCUUGAUGUAACACCCAAAUGAAACAUCAAGCUAGGAUCCAACAGAAUACUCUACAACCUAAAAGAGGGAUGUCAUAAUCUAGUCGUAGAAUAUUUGAAGGUAGGUAAAUGACGAUUUACCAAUUUCCACCAUGAAAAAGGAAAAGGAAGUUUAAGUUUUAAAUGAAUUGAAACUCCUAGAUCUUUUGAGAUUCAUUGAACUUUUCAAUGGCAUGUUUAAUCUCGAUUAUGCCCUACUAUUUGUGACUGGGAUGCCGAGGAUCACAAACAAGGUGUGAAUAACCAUACUAAUCACGUGGUGCACCCAAUGCUACUAUCACCAAAUGAAUGUUCCGGUUAGCCACACACGCUCCAUUGAUCUAUGAUAAGCAACGAGCCACCCUUCGCCACCAAUGUCAUCCCCAAGUUAGUGUGUCGGUUAACCACACACACUCCACUAACGUUUGACAAGGCUACGAAGUGUAAUCCCAUGGAUUAGCAUACAAUUUCACAUUUUGCCUAAUGUAACUAUGAUUUGGGAAUUUGUAUAAGCAUUUAGUUACUUUGUACUUCAUUAUACUUAUAAUGGAAGGUUUCUGUCCUAUCCUACCCGUUCGGCUAACGACCCUCCACUAGUCAAGAGUGCGGUGGGUAAGAGUGGAUACCCAUUCAAUCGCCAUUUUAUAGGCAAUUUCCUUAAACACCCCUUAUAGACCAGCUUCGUGAAUGAGGCCUACUAACGGUAAGACUGACUGUUUACUCAUACAUAUAUAUAAUAUUAGACUUUUAAUGUUAUAUAUAGUAUAGGGUNGUCAAGAGUGGGAUGGGUAAGAGUGGAUACCCAAUGGCGGUCAUUUUAUAGGCUGCUUCCUUAAACAUCCCUUAUAGACUAGCUUCGUGAAUGAGGCCUACUAACGGUAAGAUUGACUCUUUACUCAUACAUACAUAUAUAUGUGUAUAUAUAUAUAUAUAUAUAUAUAUAUAUAUAUAUAUAUAUAUAUAUAUAUUAGACUUUUAAUGUUACAUAUAUAUAGGGUGUAUUUUACACUUUUAAAAUACUAAGUGGUCUAAUUUAGCAAAUUAUACUUUUAAUUUAUUUAAAUGUAAACCAAAACUUUAUGGGUUUCUUAAAUAUCUUUUAAUUAUACACUUUAAUUAAUUAAUAAAACCAUAAGGGUGUAAUUUGAACCUUUUCAAAAUACUAGGGUGUUAGAAUUUAACAUUUCAAAAUUAAACUUUUAAUCAAUUUUUAAAUUCCAAAACUUGAGGGCAAGUCUUGAAACAUUUCAAAACAUCGGGGUUUAGAAUUUAAAUAUUUCAAAAUUAAACUUUUAAUCAACAAUUUAAAUUCCAAAAGUUGAGGGCAAGUUUUUGAAACUUUUCAAACUAUCGAGAUUAAAUUACAAAUAAUUAAAUUAAUCAAAUAAUUUGAAUUAUCUAAAUUUGAGCUAAUUUAAUUUCUUACAAGAUAAUUCAAAACAAAUAAUUUAAAUAAUUAGGGUUUCUCAAAUAAGGCAAUAAUUGUCUAAUUAAAUGACAAUUAUCUCUAAUUUUGACAAGGAUAAUCAUAACAAAUUAAUAAAAUUCGGAUUUUAUCAAUCAAAAACAAUUUUGGUAAUUAUCCAAGCUCAAAAUAGGUCAAAAUCCUGAGUAUUCUGCCAUCUGCCCUGACACCACCUCGUGGUGAUCAGGCAGAAGCAAAAAAACGAAAUUUUUUUCUGCUUUGAAAACAUAACUUUUGCAUCAAAUACAUUAUAAAAUCAUCCUAGGCUCUGAUACCACUGAUGGGUUUUAAGCAAAACAUCAAUCCUAUGGUGUACAUGCAAACCCUAAUAGCUUUUGGAUCUAGUUUGUCUAAUGAACAUGCAAUUGAAUAUCCAAAACUAUAAACCCUAUAUCUAACAUAUAAUAAACUGAAUUAGGGUUUAGAGAAUUACCUUUGAUUGUUAUAUAGCAAUAACAAUCAAUUCCUUGCUUUGAUUGGCUUCAGAAAGCUUAGUGCCUCAAGUGCUGCACCUCUAAUGGAGUCACAAACACCACUAAGCAACUAGAUGAAGAAGGAGAAGAGAGGAGGCACCCAAAAACGUCUAGAAACCCUAAGGAUUCAGUUACACACGUUUUUGGGGCCUAAAGGGUCCUUUAUAUACUUGUGUCGGCUGCUAGGGUUUCAAUCAAAACCCUAAUGGACAACUUAAACUCUAAGCAGCCCAUGGAACCUUCUGGAUAAGGCCAUGGACGAAAAUAUGAUGGGCUCCCAUCAUAAUUUCGUUCACCCCUUGUUCCUUUAGCAUUCCUUAGCCCAAUAACUCAAUUAUCCAAUAAUUGCAGUCCAGUCCCAUAAAUUUAAUUAAUCUCUUUUAGCCACAAAAUUAAUUAUCAAUUAAUUCUUGACUAAUAUUAAUUAAACAAUAUGAUUUCUCCUUUAAUAUAUUAUUCUCAUAAUAUAUUAAUAAAUCAUAUUUAAACCUUUCUCUCCUUAAUUCAUCCUACAUAUUGCUAUGGUGAAGGCAACCCAAAAGGACCAUGCUCAUAAUCGGGUCAAGUACAUACCAAAAUAGUUAUGGACUUAGACACUAAUCCAACAGUUAUCUCCUCUCAAUCUGCUACGAAUCAUGGUACCCGAACCAUGUUAUCUCCUCUCAAUCUGCUACGAAUCAUGGUACCCGAACCAUGUUAUCUCCUCUCAAUCUGCUACGAAUCAUGGUACCCGAACCAUGUUAUCUCCUCUCAAUCUGCUAUGAAUCAUGGUAUCUGAACCAUGUUAUCUCCUCUCAAUCUGCUACGAAUCAUGGUACCCGAACCAUGUUAUCUCCUCUCAAUCUGCUACGAAUCAUGGUACCCGAACCAUGUUAUCUCCUUUCAAUCUGCUACGAAUCAUGGUACCCGAACCAUGUUAUCUCCUCUCAAUCUGCUACUUAGAACCUUUGGAAUUCUCCAUGUUUCGAGUACGGGUCCUCUGCUUUCAGUAGUACGGGCCCAUACUACAUGACACAUCUACCCAUACUUUCCACACGGAUCGUCCCAGAUUUCCUAAGUAGCUGCUCAACCUUCUCGAUCACCAAUCCCGUUAAACCUAGUCGCUCCCCAGCGAAUACUCACAUCUAUCAAUGUACUCAUCUGAGUAAGGCCACUCCUUUGGCUCUUCCUAGGUUCUCACAUUUCUCUGCCAUCAGCUGCUGAAGAACUCCUUAUGAUGUCAGCCAUCUACCUCCUGAAUAUCAUCAUAUUCACUUAGUAGCCGACUCUCAUCAUCGAGAGUUCCAUAAAGAACGAAGCAAGCAACAUUCGGGCAUCGAAUAAUCUCCACCAGCACGUAAAACCACUAUAGGUUACAACUCUAUUGGCUCUACUCGUACUCAAAAGGUGUCACCGAACUCAAGCAACUCUACCCCACAUGGGUAUCUAACUACUCUCUCAGUAGGCUUCUCCAAUGCUCAUCUAGGUAUCUCUCCUAGAUUACUCCUCUACUCAAAGCUCUAUCUCUGAAAUAUUCCUGUUGGAUACUCUUACUCCGUACAUACCCAAAGCACAUCACAGAUAGCAAAAUUCUUAGGCUAAGGCAUCACAAAUCAGGAAACUCUAGCCCUAAAAUAUGAAAUACCUAGCCUAUCUCCUAGCAUGCAUCACUAAUAUCUCAAUAAUAACUCAUAACACAAAUAAGUAAUGGUAUUUUAGGAAAUCACUGUUUGGGCUCUGGCUGAUUGUACACACUGCUCCUUCUCGUUUUCUCUUAGAAACUCUUGCUCAUUUAGAAAAAAAUCAUUUCUUUUGAAAUUUUUUCUCAAAUCCCCAGUUUGAGUUCAUACAUUCCCGAAGGUGUAUCCGAAUCCCUCAAACCAAGGCUCUGAUACCAACUUGUAACACUGAAAAUUUUCAAACAAUUUUUUUUCAUUUAAAAUCACAUAAUUCUCAUAACACAUAACACGGUAAGCACGAAGCUUAAUGAGUUCCCCAAAAUACCACACACAACUCAUUAGCCCCUCGAGGCUAUAACACAGUAAGACCCUCCGGUUAAUGUGUAUCAGUGGGACCCUCCAGUCCCAUAAAUCGGGUGGACCCUCCAGUCCUAACUCAGUAAGCACAAAAUAAUACACAUCAUAAAUCACAUAGACAUAAUGCAAGAUAUCUCAUUACUCAAUAUAAACACAUAAGACAUCUUAAUCACACAAAGAUACCACUCAUGGUAAGUAUAGUGAAAAGACUCAGCUCGACAACAAGCAAUCAUCCUCGCACUCGAAUCUCGAACUAGCCACCGCCUAACACAUAGGGUAGUUAUCUCAAUAAAUACUCGGUCCUCGAAUCUAAGUAAACCAAAGGUUAUUCUUCCUCUUUUUAACUCUUGAAGUGGGUAAAAGACCAUUUUAACCCUCCAUGGUCUCCAUUACUUAUGUUUGACCAAACCCUAAAGUUAAUAGAAAUCAACUCGAGUCAACAGUCCAUGUUUGACCCGACUUGCCGAGUGCACCUAUGUGACUCGUCGAGUCCACUCUUUUCCUCGAAAGUCUUGUGAAGGUCCACCUUAGCUCGUCGAGUUGACCCCCAACUCGCCGAGUUAUCGC